rnacentral:rRNA from 1 species
GACGAACGCUGGCGGCGUGCUUAACACAUGCAAGUCGAACGGUAAGGCCCUUCGGGGUACACGAGUGGCGAACGGGUGAGUAACACGUGGGUGAUCUGCCCUGCACUUCGGGAUAAGCCUGGGAAACAGGGUCUAAUACCGGAUAGGACCACUGCCUGCAUGGGUGGUGGUGGAAAGCUUUUGCGGUGUGGGAUGGGCCCGCGGCCUAUCAGCUUGUUGGUGGGGGGAUGGCCUACCAAGGCGACGACGGGUAGCCGGCCUGGGAGGGUGACCGGCCACACUGGGACUGAGAUACGGCCCAGACUCCUACGGGAGGCAGCAGUGGGGAAUAUUGCACAAUGGGCGCAAGCCUGAUGCAGCGACGCCGCGUGAGGGAUGACGGCCUUCGGGUUGUAAACCUCUUUCAGCACCGACGAAGCGCAAGUGACGGUAGGUGCAGAAGAAGGACCGGCCAACUACGUGCCAGCCGCCGCGGUAACAC